UACUGCAAUUUUGAUAAUGUCGUAACAAAAUGUAAUAUCAGUUCUACGAAAACAUGGUGCAAUUUCAUCCUGUUGUGAAAGAACUCCGUGUUUACUAUUUGUGCAAACCCCGAUUCAGUCUUUUUGCCUGGAAGCUUGCACGGUUCAAGAUGCCUUUAGCUACAGAUUUAUUACAUCCUCUGCCUGAAGAUGAGAAGAAAAAACAUAAACUCAAAAGAAUAGUUCAAAGUCCUAACAGUUAUUUCAUGGAUGUCAAAUGCCCAGGCUGCUACAAAAUCACAACAGUGUUUAGUCAUGCACAAACAGUAGUGUUAUGUGUAGGUUGUUCCACAGUCUUGUGUCAACCAACAGGA